UACGGGGGGAGCAAGCGUUGUUCGGAUUUACUGGGCGUAAGGGCGCGUAGGCGGCCAGCGCAAGUCAGUUGUGAAAUCUCCGGGCUUAACUCGGAACGGUCAACUGAUACUGCGCGGCUAGAGUGCAGAAGGGGCAACUGGAAUUCUCGGUGUAGCGGUGAAAUGCGUAGAUAUCGAGAGGAACACCUGCGGCGAAGGCGGGUUGCUGGGCUGACACUGACGCUGAUGCGCGAAAGCCAGGGGAGCGAACGGG
rnacentral:rRNA from 1 species